GGGCCCGCACAAGCGGUGGAUCAUGUGGUUUAAUUCGAAGCAACGCGAAGAACCUUACCUGGGUUUGACAUCUCCGGACAUCCGUAGAGAUACGGCUUUAGUAGCAAUACUACCGGAAGACAGGUGCUGCAUGGCUGUCGUCAGCUCGUGUGGUGACAUGUUGGGUUAAGUCCCGCAACGAGCGCAACCCCUGUCCUUAGUUGCCAGCAUUCAGUUGGGCUCUCUAAGGAGACUGCCGUGGUGAACACGGAGGAAGGUGGGGAUGACGUCAAGUCCUCAUGGCCUUUAUAUCCAGGGCGACACACGUGAUACAAUGGACGGUACAGAGGGAAGCGAAACCGCGAGGUGGAGCCAAUCUCAAAAAGCCGUUCUCAGUUCGGAUUGGAGUCUGCAACUCGACUCCAUGAAGUUGGAAUCGCUAGUAAUCGCGGAUCAGCACGCCGCGGUGAAUACGUUCCCGGGCCUU
rnacentral:rRNA from 1 species